UUCUUUAAAGGGAAGGCAGGAGGCGGACAGCUUGGCUGUGACCCUUUAGCGCUGGGUCGCGUGUGGCCCACCCUCGGCCUGAGGCAUUGUUGGGUGGUUGGAGGUGGUUGUAGUAUUUGGAAAAGAACUUGUCCCUGAAGGGCUCAGGGGACUUGGUUUCUCAGCUCCUAAUAUGGAAAAUUAAGGCAUUUCUUACGAGAUGCAGAUUUUAAAGCAGGCAUAUCUACUCGACGGCUUUGGAUUACUGCACUGCACAAAUUCCAGUCUCUGUCGGUUUUGGCUGAGAAGAGCUGUGCUUCUCACCAGCUACUGGUGAGACAUUCGCCCUACAGGAAAGGGUCGGUAUGAUUGUGGACAUUGACAUGCGUAGCAAAAGAAAGUGGCUAAUUUGCGCCAAUAAUAAUAAAUUAGCUUGUAUUUGAAUUAGCCAAGUCUUUGCGGUUUUGCUAACUUGGCUUCACUUUGCAUGGAGUGGGAAGCGCCUGCUUCUGAAAAGGUGACUUUUUUCCUAAUUAGAAUGGACUCCUCUUAAGGCCAUGCAGUUUUCAAAGAAGAAAGACAAGCUGGACGUUUUGUUAGUAACAAAAUGUAGCUGAAGCAGAGAGAGAAGGCAGCAUACGUCAGCAUUUUCUUCUCUGCACUUACAAGAAAGAUCAAAGACUUUAAGACUUUCACUGUUUCUUCUACCGCUAUCUACUACGAGCUUCAAAGAGGAACCAGGAGUAUGGGAGGAGCAUGAAAGUGGACAAGGAACGUGACCAUUGAAGCACAGCACCACAGGGAGGGAUUUAGGCCCCAGGACUGCAGGCAGGCCUGGAUAAUAUCCAGCCUUCCACAAGAAGCUGGUGGAGCAGUGUUCCCUGACUCCUCCAAGGAAAGGAGACUCCCUUUCACGGUCUGCUAAGUAACGGGUGCCUUCCCAGACACUGGCGUUACCGCUUGACCAAGGAGCCCUCAAGCGGCCCUUACGCGGGCGUGACCGAAGGCUCACCUCUUGUCUUCUAGGUCACUUCUCACAAUGUCCCUUCAGCACCUGACCCUAUACCCGCUGGUUAUUCCUAGGUUAUAUUAGUAAUGCAACAAAGAGUAAUAUUAAAAGCUAAUGAUUAAUCAUGUUUAUAAUAAUGAUUGAUAAUUGUCCAUGAUCAUCUCUAUAUCUAAUUUGUAUUAUGACUAUUCUUAUUCUAACUAUUUUCUUUAUUAUACUGAAACAGUUUGUGCCUUCAGUCUCUUGCCUCGGCACCUAGGUAAUCCUCCACCCACAUCCUACUCUUGGACAACAGGAAAAUUAGAAAAGAUAAUGGAGAGCUUUUUCAGAAUGUUGAAUUUAGGAGUUGUGUGUGCUUUUGAUCUCCAUGUCAAUCCAUAAACAAUAAAUCCUGUUCUUAAAUUUGAA
rnacentral:lncRNA from 1 species